rnacentral:lncRNA from 10 species
CAGGUAGGCAGUUUUAUUGUCUACAAAUAAUGACAAUUAUAAUUCUUCCUUAUGUUCCUCAUCUGGCUUGUUGCAGGGGUUAGUAGUGCCGGGACACUGCUGAAUAAUAGCUUGCCCUUGGCUAGUUUCUGACUUUAAUGGGAAUGCCUGUGGCGUCUGACUCUUUAGAAUGCCAUCACUGUUGGUUUCUGAAACAGACCUUUAUCUAGAUUAGGGUGUUUCUUUCCAGACUUAAUUUACUAAGAGUUUUAAUAAGGGAUGGAUUUUAAAUCUUACGAAAUACCUUUUCAGCAUCUAUAGAGCUAUCAUAAAUUCUUCCCUAUUAAUUGAAGCUGAAAUGAAGGCUCCUGCACAGCCAUACUGCCUCCUCAUAUACUCUACAUGCCCCUAGUCCCCUGUGCCAGGAACUGAAUACCUCUGCAGAUAGACUAAAGGUGAGGCUUCAAGGUCUGCCUGCUAGGCGUGGUGCUGAACGCCUUCUCAAGCUGCCCAAGCACAUGGAGUCUUGGAGGCUUUCCUUUCCAGAGAAAGAAAGUAGGACCAAUCCCCACUCCCUGCCAUAAUAAGAAAGAGCCCUUGGGGACAGCAGCAUACAGAGCACAGAAGCCAAAGAGAAUUCAGGCGGCACUUACUGCAAAGCCAUCACAGAAAGCAGCGAGGCCUUCAGACUCCUAGGAGAAACAGUGAUUCCUUCUACUGCUCCAUCCCCACUGCUAACUCUGGGUCCCCACCCCUGUCCUCCCAGAGUCACUCUGAUCCUGCUCAUCACACCAGGACAUGGAGUCUCUACAUAAC